UACCAGCACCCCGAGUGGUCGGGACGAUUAUUGGGCCUAAAGCAUCCGUAGCCGGUUCUACAAGUCUUCCGUUAAAUCCACCUGCUUAACAGAUGGGCUGCGGAGGAUACUAUAGAGCUAGGAGGCGGGAGAGGCAAGCGGUACUUAGUGGGUAGGGGUAAAAUCCGUUGAUCCAUUGAAGACCACCAGUGGCGAAGGCGGACUUGCCAGAACGCACUCGACGGUGAGGGAUGAAAGCUGGGGAGCAAACCGGG
rnacentral:rRNA from 1 species